rnacentral:pre_miRNA from 1 species
CACGGACGACAUCUUUACCUGACAGUAUUAGAGUUUUAAAAAGGAUCUAAUGCUGCCCGGUAAGAUGUGAACAGA